GAUGAACGCUGGCGGCGUGCCUAAUACAUGCAAGUCGAGCGAACAGACGAGGCGCUUGCUCCUCUGACGUUAGCGGAAGGCGGGAGAGUAACACGUGGAUAACCUACCUAUAAGAGUGGGAACACCUCGGGAAACCGGAUCUAAUACCGGAGAAUCUCUUGAACCGCAUGGUUCAAUAGUGAGAGACGGUUUUGGUGUAACGUAUAGAUGGAUACGGGCCGCAUUAGCUAGUUGGUAGGGUAACGGCUUACCAAGGCGACGAGGCGUAGACGACCUGCGAGAGUGAUCGGCCACAUGGGAACGGAGCCACGGACCAGGCGCCUACGGGAGGCAGCAGUAGGGAACGUGCCGCAAUGGGCGAAAGCCUGACGGAGUAACGCCGCGUGAGUGAUGACGGUCUUCGGAUCGUAAAACUCUGUUAUUAGGGAAAAACAAAUGUGUAAGUAAAUAUGCACGUCGUGACGGUAACUAAUCAGAAAGCAACGGCUAACUACGUG
rnacentral:rRNA from 1 species